CAUUGUUCCUCAUCUGCAACUUCAAAAAACAGAUCUGCGACUCCAGCGAUUCGGUCAAAAUAGAUCCGCGUCUACGGCGAUCUGAUUCCGGUGAUCAUCGUUCAUCAUCCUCUUCCGCUCAUCGUUCAUCAAAACAAAUCUGCGACUCACGGUAGAUCUGUCACAGAUCAAUAUGGAUGCAGUUUUGAUAAGAGAUAUAUUGAUAGAAGCAAUGCUAAGCCUGUCACUAAAGAGAAAAAACAAUUUGAAGGAGUUAGUUGACUUAGUUCUGUUCCUAAGACUGCCACCGAAGAGAAUAGGUCAGCAACAAGAGAACAGGGCAGCAACAAGAUCGAUAUGGUGGAAGCAGUUUUGAGAACAUGUCAACAACAAGAAAACAGGGUAGCAACAAGAGAACUAUGCAGCAACAAGGUAGAGACAUGUUCAUAGAGUUUUUCUUUAAAUGCAAUUACUUAGUUUGAAUACUACAAUAGUUGGUUUCGAUGCAGGAGUUAGUGGUAAAAAUAGGGCACAAAUCAUCAAACUUAUGACAACUAUUGUCAUAGUUGGAUUCAAAAUACUUAUAUAUUGCAUUAUUGAGGGCGUGACUCCUAUGAAGUUGUAAUCCAAGUUUAUUGUAUAUUAGACCAAGGACAUUAUUUGUUGCUUCA